rfam:Culex pipiens quinquefasciatus supercont3.226 genomic scaffold, whole genome shotgun sequence.
UUUGUUCAGGCCGGUCGGCGUGUGGGGCAAGAUUGUCGGGUCGCUGUGCGCGAUUGCCGGUGUGCUCACGAUUGCCCUUCCGGUGCCGGUCAUCGUCAGCAAC